ACAAUGCACACCAUUCAACAUUUCAUGGAUGAAAAUAGGGAAAUGCCUCUGCGUGCAUAGGGCACAUGGCCAAACAACCUGGGAGGCAAAGUGUACAAUUCUCACAACAAUGAUACCACAAAUGGAAAACAGCAGGAAAUGAAGAUUCCCUGGGCUGUAAGUCUCAUAACCUGCAUACACCUUGAUGUGAACUGGCACUGGCAUUUUAUCUAUGUGUGGAAGAAGGGAACCAGCAUGUGUCUAUACAUGAGCUAAGGAGUUAUGUUGCUGCGGAGUUCUGAUACAAUGCCUCCUUUUUGUUCACCACUCUUUAGAUAAAGGGCAUAUGGAGCUGUUUCCCAAGAUGUGUUCCCUGACACUGUAUCUUGGGGACCUGAACUCAGUGUGUGCCACAGCUAUUCGUUGUCAGUGUUCUGCAAUGUCCAGCAAAGCUCAAUUUUGCCUGAUCAAUUCUGCCUAAGGAAAAUCUGCAGCAGAUCCAGAAUAAUGUAGUAAAGCCCUGAUGAAUCAAUCAUUACAUGAAAGGCAGUUCCACUAUAUUAAGGACAGCUCAUAUGAAGAAAAAAUGUAUUGUUUGAACCAGUCCUAAUAUGUGGAAGACCCUCAAGACCCACAUGUUUUCUCAGCGUUUUUCACGGAAUUGUUUUGAAACUAUUUAAUGUUUUUAUUUUAUGAUUGUUUUUAUUUAUCUUGUGAAUUUUUAACUUUAUUUUGUUUUAUACUUGUUGUGUUUUAAUUCUGUACACCACCUAGAGAUGUACAUAUCAGACGGUAUGAAAAUAUAACAAACAAAUAAAUAAAUAAAUAAUAAAAAUGU